GAUGAACGCCGGCGGCGUGCCUAAUACAUGCAAGUCGAGCGAAUGGAUUAAGAGCUUGCUCUUAUGAAGUUAGCGGCGGACGGGUGAGUAACACGUGGGUAACAUGCCCAUCAGACUGGGAUAACUCCGGGAAACCGGGGCUAAUCCAGGAGAAUAUUUUGAACUGAAUGGGUCAAAAUUGAAAGGCGGCUUCGGCUGUCACUUAUGGAUGGACCCGAGUCGCAUUAGCUAGUUGGUGAGGUAACGGCUGACCAAGGCAACGAUGCGUAGCCGACGUGAGAGGGUGAUCGGCCACACUGGGACUGAGACACGGCCCAGACUCCUACGGGAGGCAGCAGUAGGGAAUCUUCCGCAAUGGACGAAAGUCUGACGGAGCAACGCCGCGUGAGUGAUGAAGGCUUUCGGGUCGUAAAACUCUGUUGUUAGGGAAGAACAAGUGCUAGUUGAAUAAGCUGGCACCUUGACGGUGCCUAACCAGAAAGCCACGGCUAACUACGUGUCAGCCGCCGCAGUAA
rnacentral:rRNA from 1 species